CAACAACAACGUUUGUACAGCACUUCCACAUAUUUGAAGCCAUCUGCUGACAUUUGGAAAUUUAUUUGAGGGAAAAGUCUGCCAGAUAAAGGCCUUUAGAAAUUAGUCUGAGAGCCAUACAUGAGUUGCCAUUGCUACCUUAAAACAAGAGGAAGGAGAGAGAAUCGACAUGUACAGAAUUAUCUCGUUCAUCAUAAUCUUCACAUUCAAUUACAGUGGAAAUGAAUAAAUGGGAGAAAUACUCUACAAACUUGAUUUUAUUUGCCAAAAUGUGGAUUUAAG